rnacentral:rRNA from 1 species
AGAGUUUGAUCCUGGCUCAGGAUGAACGCUAGCUACAGGCUUAACACAUGCAAGUCGAGGGGAAACGGCAUUGAGUGCUUGCACUCUUUGGACGUCGACCGGCGCACGGGUGAGUAACGCGUAUCCAACCUUCCCAUUACUGUGGGAUAACCUGCCGAAAGGCAGACUAAUACCGCAUAGUCUUCGAUGACGGCAUCAGAUUUGAAGUAAAGAUUUAUCGGUAAUGGAUGGGGAUGCGUCUGAUUAGCUUGUUGGCGGGGUAACGGCCCACCAAGGCAACGAUCAGUAGGGGUUCUGAGAGGAAGGUCCCCCACAUUGGAACUGAGACACGGUCCAAACUCCUACGGGAGGCAGCAGUGAGGAAUAUUGGUCAAUGGACGGAAGUCUGAACCAGCCAAGUAGCGUGCAGGAUGACGGCCCUAUGGGUUGUAAACUGCUUUUGUAUGGGGAUAAAGUUAGGGACGUGUCCCUAUUUGCAGGUACCAUACGAAUAAGGACCGGCUAAUUCCGUGCCAGCAGCCGCGGUAAUACGGAAGGUCCAGGCGUUAUCCGGAUUUAUUGGGUUUAAAGGGAGCGUAGGCUGGAGAUUAAGUGUGUUGUGAAAUGUAGACGCUCAACGUCUGAAUUGCAGCGCAUACUGGUUUCCUUGAGUACGCACAACGUUGGCGGAAUUCGUCGUGUAGCGGUGAAAUGCUUAGAUAUGACGAAGAACUCCGAUUGCGAAGGCAGCUGACGGGAGCGCAACUGACGCUUAAGCUCGAAGGUGCGGGUAUCGAACAGGAUUAGAUACCCUGGUAGUCCGCACAGUAAACGAUGGAUGCCCGCUGUUGGUACCUGGUAUCAGCGGCUAAGCGAAAGCAUUAAGCAUCCCACCUGGGGAGUACGCCGGCAACGGUGAAACUCAAAGGAAUUGACGGGGGCCCG